GACGAACCGUGCGAACGUUAUUCGGAAUCACUGGGCUUAAAGCGCGUGUAGGCGGGCGGGAAUGUCGGUUGCUGAAAGCCCCCGGCUCAACCGGGGAACGGGCGCCGAAACGACCCGCCUCGAGGGACGUAGGGGGACCUGGAACUUCCGGUGGAGCGGUGAAAUGCGUUGAGAUCGGAAGGAACGCCCGUGGCGAAAGCGAGGUCCUGGACGUCUUCUGACGCUGAGACGCGAAAGCUAGGGGAGCGAACGGG
rnacentral:rRNA from 1 species